UACGUAGGGCGCAAGCGUUGUCCGGAAUUAUUGGGCGUAAAGAGCUCGUAGGCGGUUUGUCGCGUCUGCUGUGAAAUCCCGAGGCUCAACCUCGGGCUUGCAGUGGGUACGGGCAGACUAGAGUGCGGUAGGGGAGGCUGGAAUUCCUGGUGUAGCGGUGGAAUGCGCAGAUAUCAGGAGGAACACCGAUGGCGAAGGCAGGUCUCUGGGCCGCAACUGACGCUGAGGAGCGAAAGCUAGGGGAGCAAACGGG
rnacentral:rRNA from 1 species